GACGAACGCUGGCGGCGUGCCUAAUACAUGCCAGUAGAACGCACAGUUUAUACCUUAGCUUGCUACACCAUAGACUGUGAGUUGCGAACGGGUGAGUAACGCGUAGGUAACCUGCCUGGUAGCGGGGGAUAACUAUUGGAAACGAUAGCUAAUACCGCAUAAUAUUGAUUAUUGCAUGAUAAUUUAUUGAAAGAUGCUAUUGCAUCACUACCAGAUGGACCUGCGUUGUAUUAGCUAGUAGGUGAGGUAACGGCUCACCUAGGCGACGAUACAUAGCCGACCUGAGAGGGUGAUCGGCCACACUGGGACUGAGACACGGCCCAGACUCCUACGGGAGGAAGCAGUAGGGAAUCUUCGGCAAUGGACGGAAGUCUGACCGAGCAACGCCGCGUGAGUGAAGAAGGUUUUCGGAUCGUAAAGCUCUGUUGUAAGAGAAGAACGGGUGUGAGAGUGGAAAGUUCACACUGUGACGGUAUCUUACCAGAAAGGGACGGCUAACUACGUG
rnacentral:rRNA from 1 species